rnacentral:rRNA from 1 species
GACGUAGGGCGCGAGCGUUGUCCGGAUUUAUUGGGCGUAAAGAGCUCGUAGGCGGCUUGUCGCGUCGACCGUGAAAACUUGGGGCUCAACCCCAAGCCUGCGGUCGAUACGGGCAGGCUCGAGUUCGGUAGGGGAGACUGGAAUUCCUGGUGUAGCGGUGAAAUGCGCAGAUAUCAGGAGGAACACCGAUGGCGAAGGCAGGUCUCUGGGCCGAUACUGACGCUGAGGAGCAAAAGCGUGGGGAGCGAACAGG